rnacentral:rRNA from 1 species
AUUGAACGCUGGCGGCAGGCCUAACACAUGCAAGUCGAGCGAGCGGCGGACGGGAGAGUAAUGUCUGGGGAACUGCAUGAUGGCGGGGGAUAACUACUGGAAACGGAAGCUAAUACCGCAUACCAUCAGAUGGGCCCAGAGGGGAUUAGCUAGUAGGUGGGGUAACGGCGAACCUAGGCGACGAUCCCGAGCUGGUCUGAGAGGAUGACCGGCCAAACGGGAACUGAGACACGGUCCAGACUCCUACGGGAGGCAGCAGUGGGGAAUAUUGCACAAUGGGCGCAAGCCUGAUGCAGCCAUGCCGCGUGUGUGAAGAAGGCCUUCGGGUUGUAAAGCACUUUCAGCGGGGAGGCGUUACCCGCAGAAGAAGCACCGGCUAACUCCGUGCCAGCAGCCGCGGUAAUAC